rnacentral:rRNA from 1 species
AGAAUCAACGCUGGCGGCGUGCCUAACACAUGCAAGUCGCACGAGAAAGGGUAGCAAUACCUGAGUAAAGUGGCGCACGGGUGAGUAACACGUGAAUGAUCUACCUCCGAGUGGGGAAUAACUGAGAGAAAUCUUAGCUAAUACCGCAUAACACUUACGAGUCAAAGCAGCAAUGCGCUUGGAGAGGAGUUUCGCGGCCGAUUAGUUAGUUGGCGGGGUAAUGGCCCACCAAGACGAUGAUCGGUA